AAUAUCCCUAAUACUCUAAUCUACGUUAAAACGUGAUCGACAGUCUGUGGAUGUCAACGUCAAGGAAGGAAAAAUUGAAACAGUGGCAAACAUGAAGAGCUCACUGACAUUUAAAGACUCUGCAUCAAAGCACUUCACCGUGGCACCAAGUUAUUUCUUCAUUAGGAAAUUAGUUGGCAACCCAAACCACCAAACCCAAAAAUAAAGACUGAAACAACUAUGAAACAAACCAAUUAAUCUCUAUAUGUCAAGCUGUCUAUGUGCUGUCCUGGCUACCCCCCGCCCCACAUAAAAAAAACAA